GGGUUCUACCGUUGGUCGGGCUUUGUCUGUACUGGCGUGUAGAAUUUCUACCUUCUGGGGAACCAUUAUGUUAUUAAUUUAGCGUGGUGGGAAACCAGGACCUUUACCUUGAAAAAUUAGAGUGUUCAAAGCAGGCUUAUGUCUGAAUACAUUAGCAUGGAAUAAUAGAAUAGGACGGUGGUCCUGUUUUGUUGGUUUCUGAAUCACCGUAAUGAUUAAUAGGGA
rnacentral:rRNA from 1 species